GCAUGGGUGGUUCAGUGGUAGAAGUCUUGCCUGCCACUCAGGAGGUCCGAUUUCUUUUCCUGGCCCAUGCA
rnacentral:tRNA from 1 species